rnacentral:rRNA from 1 species
AUGAUCCAUACCGAGGAGAGAGAGAAAAGAACCACCCAAAUAACCAGCCCGAUGCAGCAAACCAUGUGGCGGAGGGGUACACCGCUGCCACGGCGCCUCUUCGGAAUCAGAUGUCUUGUGCUUCUCCUACUCUCCACCAUGGGGGUCAUGCACGCACACGACGACAACGAGGGAGCUCUCACGGCUUUCAAGGAAAGGAUUUCAGACCAUUCCGGGGUGCUGGCCUCCUGGAACCGGAGCAUCAGCUACUGUGCCUGGGAGGGCGUCACGUGCAGCCGGAGACAUCGGUCGAGGGUGGUUGCUCUGGACCUAAACUCUCAGGGGAUCUCCGGCACUAUCUCCCCUGCCAUCGGCAACCUCACGUUCCUCCGCACGCUCAACUUGAGCCUCAAUCCCUUGCACGGCAAGAUUCCUCCCAGCAUCGGCUCCCUCCGCCGUCUCAAGUACCUUGGACUCCAAGGGAACAUGCUCACUGGUGCGAUCCCAAGCAACAUUAGCCGCUGCACCAACCUCAGGGUGAUGAUAAUUGCUGACAACAAGGGGUUGCAAGGAAGCAUACCUUCUGAGAUCGGCAACAUGCAAUCGCUACGUGUUGUACACCUAUACAACAACAGCCUCACUGGGACCAUCCCCUCAUCACUUGGGAACCUCUCACAGGUGACCAUCUUGUCCCUGGCAGCUAACCAUCUCGAGGGAUCAAUCCCCGAGAGCAUUGGGAACAAUGCACAUCUCGGGUUCCUUCAGCUGGCCAUGAACAACCUCUCAGGUUUGCUUCCUCUUUCGCUGUACAACCAGUCAUCUCUGUACAUGUUUUUUGUGACGGACAACUACCUGCAUGGCCGUCUACCAGCUCAUCUGGGAAGAAGCCUUCCUAGCAUACAGCAGUUUGGAUUUGGGAAUAACCGAUUCACUGGAGUUGUGCCUCCAUCACUGACUAAUAUCUCCAGACUCCAGCUUUUUGAUGUUGCAAAUAACGGAUUCAGUGGGGUUGUCCCUUCAGACUUGGGAAAAUUGCAGUAUCUUAGAAGGUUUAAUCUGGUUGGAAACAAGUUUGAGGCAAACAAUGAGCAAGAAUGGCAAUUCCUUACUUCUUUGACAAACUGUAGCAGGUUGCAACAGAUAAAUAUAGAACAGAACAGGUUCUCGGGGCAAUUACCAACCUCAUUGUCUAACUUGUCCACAAACAUCCAAGAGCUAGAUAUUUUUAACAACAAUAUAUCUGGUACUAUUCCAUCAGAUAUUGGAAAUUUGAUAGGUCUUGAGGUGCUUAUUCUUGCUGGCAACUUGCUCACUGGGGCCAUUCCUGAGACCAUAGGGAAACUUAUACAAUUGAAGAGGCUACAUCUGAGUUCCAACAACUUAUCAGGAUUCAUCCCCUCUUCCAUCGGAAACCUCGCUGGUCUUUAUAGGCUUGGUGCAAGCUUCAACAGCUUGGAGGGACCGAUUCCAUCAAGCAUUGGGAAUUUGACAAAACUUUCAGCACUAGAUAUAUCGACGAACCAUCUUUCUGGCUCAAUUCCAAAGGAAAUUAUGCAACUAUCAUCCAUCUCAAUUUAUUUGGCUUUGUCUUACAACUUGCUGGAGGGACCUCUACCUUCAGAGAUUGGCAAUUUGGUAAAUCUCGAACAGCUUAUCCUAUCAGGGAACCAGUUGUCUGGUAAAAUACCUGCAGCCAUUGGUGGCUGCGUGGUCCUGGAAACCCUCUUGAUGGAUGGCAAUUCAUUCCAAGGAAACAUCCCUCCCACUUUGAAGAACAUCAAAGGGCUUACUGUACUGAAUUUGACGAACAACAAACUGAACGGUAGCAUCCCAGGGGAACUGAGCAACAUUACCAGCUUGCAGGAACUGUAUCUUGCACAUAAUGAUCUGUCAGGGUCAAUCCCUGAACUCCUUGGUUAUUCAACAUCUCUGCUCCACCUCGACAUAUCGUUCAACAAUUUACAAGGUGAGGUACCAAAAGAAGGGAUUUUCAGGAAUUUAACUGGACUAUCAAUUUUUGGAAACAAUGAGUUAUGUGGUGGAAUACCACAGCUUCAACUGCCAAAAUGUCCAAGCUCCAAGAGAGGCUUGCCAAAGUCCCUGAGAAUAGCUGUCCCUGCAGCAGUUGGUAUCCUAGUCUUACUUGUAGCUCUUGCUUUAGCUGGAUUUCUGUACAGAAAAUUUAAGUCAGGAUUGAGGAAAGAACAACUGUCACCUCAGAAGAUUGACCUUCCAACGGUUUCAUACAACGACAUACUCAAAGCAACGGACGGGUUUUCAGAAGCCAAUCUGCUUGGGAAGGGAAGAUAUGGUACUGUAUACAAAGGCACUCUAGAAAAUUUUGCUGCCGCUGUGAAGGUGUUUAAUCUGCAGCAAUCUGGAUCCUACAAGAGCUUCCUGGAUGAAUGUGAGGCACUAAGAAGAGUUAGGCACCGUUGCCUUGUAAAGAUCAUCACAUGUUGUUCAAGCAUCAACCACCAAGGCCAAGACUUCAGAGCGCUAGUCUUCGAGCUCAUGCCCAAUUUCAGCUUAGACCGCUGGAUCCACCCAGAUAUUGAAAGCCAAAACAGAAUGGGAACACUCAGCCUGUCACAGAGGUUAGAUAUCGCCGUUGACCUCGUGGAUGCUAUAGACUAUCUUCACAAUGGUUGCCAACCUUCCAUCAUCCAUUGCGAUCUCAAGCCAAGCAACAUUCUUCUCACAGAGGACAUGAGGGCUCGUGUUGGGGAUUUUGGCAUUGCUAGAAUUCUAAAAGAAGCUGCAAGCGAAGCUUCUGCAAGUUCCCUUAGCUCCAUGGGAAUAAGAGGAUCCAUUGGAUAUGUUGCUCCAGAAUAUGGAGAAGGGCUUCCAGUAUCUACUUAUGGUGAUGUGUACAGCCUUGGGAUCACCUUGAUCGAGAUGUUUACUGGAAGGUGCCCGACAGAUGAUAUGUUUAGAGAUGGGUUAACCCUGCAAUACUUUGCAGAGGCAGCAGGUCUAUCUGGGAAUGUCAUGAAGAUAGCAGACUCCAACAUCUGGCUGCAUGAUGAAGCAAACGAUAGCACUGAUACAGAAAAUAUAAGCAGAGCCAAGGAAUGUUUGGCUGCCAUCAUCCAGCUUUGUGUCCUAUGCUCAAAGCAAUUGCCCAGAGAAAGGAUGUCAACAAGUGAUGCUGCUGCAGAGAUGCAUGCCAUCAGAGAUGCCUACCUCAGUAGUCAGUGA